GGUGGUGGUGGCUGGUUAUGAUGGGAAUUUUAAGGUGUGUGAGUCAGCACUGUAAGGAUAUUCUUUAAAAAACUUUGUGAAAGAAAGGCUACAUUGAGGAUAUUGCUAGAAAGAUCAGUUGUAGCAUCAAGGAAACAGCCUUUAAGUCAGUUACACCUGUGUAUCUUUGAAGAUAUGGAGCUCAAACCUGGGAGAAGAGGUUGCAGAUUUUGAGAAGGGAAUGGAUAGAUAGAAGAACUAGAUCCCCUAAAAGAUGGCAGACAGUAGACAAGAUUAAAGUAAAAGACAAAAUAUAUCUUGAGUAUUUUGUCAGAAGAACAGACUUAUCCCUGCUUGUUGAACAUAAUAGGACUGGAAAGAGCUUUUAUAACUGGGCUCUGGUCAACCAUGGCAGGUAAGAAAGAUUUGGUG
rnacentral:lncRNA from 1 species